rnacentral:rRNA from 1 species
CUACGUGCCAGCAGCCGCGGUAAUACGUAGGGUGCGAGCGUUAAUCGGAAUUACUGGGCGUAAAGCGAGCGCAGACGGUUACUUAAGCAGGAUGUGAAAUCCCCGGGCUCAACCUGGGAACUGCGUUCUGAACUGGGUGACUAGAGUGUGUCAGAGGGAGGUAGAAUUCCACGUGUAGCAGUGAAAUGCGUAGAGAUGUGGAGGAAUACCGAUGGCGAAGGCAGCCUCCUGGGAUAACACUGACGUUCAUGCUCGAAAGCGUGGGUAGCAAACAGGAUUAGAUACCCUGGUAGUCCACGCCCUAAACGAUGUCAAUUAGCUGUUGGGCAACUUGAUUGCUUAGUAGCGUAGCUAACGCGUGAAAUUGACCGCCUGGGGAGUACGGUCGCAAGAUUAAAACUCAAAGGAAUUGACGGGGACCCGCAACAAGCGGUGGAUGAUGUGGAUUAAUUCGAUGCAACGCGAAGAACCUUACCKGUCUUGACAU